CAUGAAGCUGGAAUCGCUAGUAAUCGCGAAUCAGCAUGUCGCGGUGAAUACGUUCCCGGGUCUUGUACACACCGCCCGUCACACCAUGGGAGUCGGAAAUGCCCGAAGCCAGUGAACCCAACCAUAAGGAGGGAGCUGUCGAAGGUGGAGCCGGUAACUGGGGUGAAGUCGUAACAAGGUAUC
rnacentral:rRNA from 1 species